CAACCUAACCUAUGGACGGGAAUAACCUCGGGAAACUGAGUAUAAUGCCCGAUAGAACACUAUACCUGGAAUGGUUUGUGUUCCAAAUGAUUUAUCGCCGUAGGAUGGGACUGCGGCCUAUCAGUUUGUUGGUGAGGUAAUGGCCCACCAAGACUAUUACAGGUACGGGCUCUGAGAGGAGUAGCCCGGAGAUGGGUACUGAGACACGGACCCAGGCCCUAUGGGGCGCAGCAGGCGAGAAAACUUUGCAAUGUGCGAAAGCACGACAAGGUUAAUCCGAGUGGUUUCUGCUAAAGAAACCUUUUGUUAGUCAUAGAACCACUAAUGAAUAAGGGGUGGGCAAGUUCUGGUGUCAGCCGCCGCGGUAAAACCAGCACCUCAAGUGGUCAGGAUGAUUAUUGGGCCUAAAGCAUCCGUAGCCGGCUCUGUAAGUUUUCGGUUAAAUCUGUACGCUCAACGUACAGGCUGCCGGGAAUACUGCAGAGCUAGGGAGUGGGAGAGGUAGACGGUACUCGGUAGGAAGGGGUAAAAUCCUUUGAUCUAUUGAUGACCACCUGUGGCGAAGGCGGUCUACCAGAACACGUCCGACGGUGAGGGAUGAAAGCUGGGGGAGCAAACCGGAUUAGAUACCCGGGUAGUCCCAGCUGUAAACUAUGCAAACUCAGUGAUGCAUUGGCUUGUGGCCAAUGCAGUGCUGCAGGGAAGCCGUUAAGUUUGCCGCCUGGGAAGUACGUACGCAAGUAUGAAACUUAAAGGAAUUGGCGGGGGAGCACCACAAGGGGUGAAGCCUGCGGUUCAAUUGGAGUCAACGCCGGG
rnacentral:rRNA from 1 species